UACGAAGGGGGGCUAGCGUUGCUCGGAAUCACUGGGCGUAAAGCGCACGUAGGCGGAUCUUUAAGUCAGGGGUGAAAUCCCAAGGCUCAACCUUGGAACUGCCUUUGAUACUGGGGAUCUCGAGUCCGGAAGAGGUUGGUGGAACUGCGAGUGUAGAGGUGAAAUUCGUAGAUAUUCGGAAGAACACCAGUGGCGAAGGCGACUUACUGGACACAUACUGACGCUGAGGUGCGAAAGCGUGGGGAGCAAACA
rnacentral:rRNA from 1 species